rnacentral:rRNA from 1 species
UACAGAGGUCUCAAGCGUUGUUCGGAUUCAUUGGGCGUAAAGGGUGCGUAGGCGGCGCGGUAAGUCGGGUGUGAAAUCUCGGAGCUUAACUCCGAAACUGCAUUCGAUACUGCUGUGCUUGAGGACUGGAGAGGAGACUGGAAUUUACGGUGUAGCGGUGAAAUGCGUAGAUAUCGUAAGGAAGACCAGUGGCGAAGGCGGGUCUCUGGACAGUUCC